AUUGAACGCUGGCGGCAUGCCUUACACAUGCAAGUCGAACGGUAACGCGGGGCAACCUGGCGACGAGUGGCGAACGGGUGAGUAGUGUAUCGGAACGUGCCCAGUUGUGGGGGAUAACUGCUCGAAAGAGCAGCUAAUACCGCAUACGACCUGAGGGUGAAAGCGGGGGAUCGCAAGACCUCGCGCAAUUGGAGCGGCCGAUAUCAGAUUAGGUAGUUGGUGGGGGAAAGGCUAACCAAGCCAACGAUCUGUAGCUGGUCUGAGAGGACGACCAGCCACACUGGGACUGAGACACGGCCCAGACUCCUACGGGAGGCAGCAGUGGGGAAUUUUGGACAAUGGGCGCAAGCCUGAUCCAGCCAUGCCGCGUGCGGGAAGAAGGCCUUCGGGUUGCAAACCGCUUUUGUCAGGGAAGAAAAGACUCCUGUUAAUACCGGGGGUUCAUGACGGUACCUGAAGAAUAAGCACCGGCUAACUACGUGCCAGCCGCCGCCGUAA
rnacentral:rRNA from 1 species